rnacentral:rRNA from 1 species
CAAUAGCGUAUAUUAAAGUUGUUGCAGUUAAAAAGCUCGUAGUUGGAUUUCUGGUAGGAGUGACCGUUCCGAACUUGAUUGUUCGUGUAUUGUGUUUUCUCCAGCCAUCCUUGUGGAGAACUUUUCUUGCAUUAAUUUGUAGGGAUUGGGACCCGCAUCGUUUACUGUGAAAAAAUUAGAGUGUUUAAAGCAGGCAAUCGCUUGAAUGCAUUAGCAUGGAAUAAUAAGAUAGGACUUUGGUACUAUUUUGUUGGUUUGCAUACCAAAUUAAUGAUCAACAGGAACAGUUUGAGGAUAUUCGUAUGAACAUGUCAGAGGUGAAAUUCUUGGAUUUUGAUCAGACGAACUACUGCGAAAGCAUUUAUCAAGGAUGUUUUCAUUAA